CAAAUAGAAAUCCAUACCGUGCUGCCGCGCGCGCUUGCAAACUCGAAGAAUCUGUAAACAUGGCGGAAAAAUAUAGCUAAAUUAUAGCUAAAACGAUACGUUUAAAGAAAAUUUACAACUCGUAGGCAUUUUGUACUCACGUUUUACUCUUCGUGUUGGUGUUGAACCGCCGAUUGACAAUUUUUGAGAAGUCUAAUCUUCAAAAUCUCGCGAAAUCUAUGUUCGAUGCCGCCGAAGACUUCAACAAUUUGCUGUAUUCUGUCUCGGGGGUCUAAAGACUCAUUCUUUCUGGCAUGAUCUCGAAGAUUUAAAAUAGCUAGCUGGGC